GCAAAAGGAUAUUUACAAAGGCUUUCGAUACAUGGGAAUGUGAGUCGUGUAUAAAUUUUGCAAUUGUAAGUUUCUAAGCUAUAUUUAUUUAUAACGUAAAAUAAUUAUUAUCAAUAAUAUAAUACUCAUGUAAUCGAUAUUUUAUUCACAGACAUCGGUGAAGAGUAAGGCCAACAUAGUUCUUCAAUUCUUGCCAAUAUCUGGCGAUGAUGUAGCUUCGGCCACACCUCCUCCAACUCAAGUAGAGCUCACUUUUGAU
rnacentral:lncRNA from 1 species